UAAGGAAUAUUGGACAAUGGAGGCAACUCUGAUCCAGCCAUGCCGCGUGAAGGAAUAAGGCCCUAUGGGUUGUAAACUUCUUUUAGACGGGACGAAACCCCUUUACGUGUAAAGGGUUGAUGGUACUGUCAGAAUAAGCAUCGGCUAACUUCGUGCCAGCAGCCGCGGUAAUACGAAGGAUGCAAGCGUUAUCCGGAAUUAUUGGGUUUAAAGGGUGCGUAGGCGGACUAAUAAGUCAGUGGCGAAAGCCUGCAGCUUAACUGCAGAAUUGCCAUUGAUACUGUUAGUCUUGAGUACAGUUGAGGUAGGCGGAAUGUGUCAUGUAGCGGUGAAAUGCUUAGAUAUGACACAGAACACCGAUUGCGAAGGCAGCUUGCUAAGCUGUAACUGACGCUGAGGCACGAAAGCGUGGGGAGCAAACA
rnacentral:rRNA from 1 species